rnacentral:misc_RNA from 1 species
GAUGAAGAACGUAGCGAAAUGCGAUAAGUAAUGUGAAUUGCAGAAUUCAGUGAAUCAUCGAAUCUUUGAACGCACAUUGCGCCCGCCAGUAUUCUGGCGGGCAUGCCUGUCCGAGCGUCAUUUCAACCCUCGAACCCCUCCGGGGGGUCGGCGUUGGGGAUCGGCCCUUUCACCGGGUGCCGGCCCCUAAAUACAGUGGCGGUCUCGCCGCAGCCUCUCAUGCGCAGUAGUUUGCACACUCGCACCGGGAGCGCGGCGCGUCCACGUCCGUAAAACACCCCAACUUCUGAAAUGUUGACAUCGGAUCAGGUAGGAAUACCCGCUGAACUUAAGCAUAUCAAUAAGCGGAGGA